CCUACGGGCGGCAGCAGUGGGGAAUAUUGGGCAAUGGACGCAAGUCUGACCCAGCAACGCCGCGUGAAGGAAGAAGGCUUUCGGGUUGUAAACUUCUUUUAAGGGGGAAGAGCAGAAGACGGUACCCCUGGAAUAAGCCACGGCUAACUACGUGCCAGCAGCCGCGGUAAUACGGCGGUGGCAAGCGUUGUCCGGAUUUACUGGGUGUAAAGGGCGUGCAGCCGGGAAGACAAGUCAGAUGGGAAAUCCCGCGGCUCAACCGCGGAACUGCAUUUGAAACUGUUUUUCUUGAGUAUCGGAGAGGUAAUCGGAAUUCCUAGUGUAGCGGUGAAAUGCGUAGAUAUUAGGAAGAACACCAGUGGCGAAGGCGGCUUACUGGACUGUAAAUGACGCUGAGGCUCGAACGCGUGGGGAGCAAACAGGAUUAGAUACCCUAGUAGUC
rnacentral:rRNA from 1 species